ACGAACGCUGGCGGCAUGCCUAAGACAUGCAAGUCGAACGGUAGAGGGGCAACCCUUGAGAGUGGCGAACGGGUGAGUAAUGCAUCGGAACGUGCCCAGUCGUGGGGGAUAACGCAGCGAAAGCUGUGCUAAUACCGCAUGUGAUCUGUGGAUGAAAGCAGGGGACCGCAAGGCCUUGUGCGAUUGGAGCGGCCGAUGUCAGAUUAGCUAGUUGGUAGGGUAAAA
rnacentral:rRNA from 1 species